rnacentral:rRNA from 1 species
UACAGAGGUGGCAAGCGUUGUUCGGAAUUACUGGGCGUAAAGGGCGCGUAGGCGGUUCGUUAAGUCCUGUGUGAAAUCCCCCGGCUCAACUGGGGAACUGCACAGGAACUAGCGGGCUUGAGUUCGGGAGAGGGAAGCGGAAUUCCGGGUGUAGCGGUAAAAUGCGUAGAUAUCCGGAGGAACACCGGUGGCGAAGGCGGCCCGCUGGGCAGGAAGAUGGAGCAAUCCAUCGGCUGACGCUGAGGCGCGACAGCGUGGGGAGCAAACAGG